UUAUUUCUGUAUUAUCUUCAAUUUAAGUGAUAUCAAAGCAUUAAUUUCAUGCACUUAUUUGCUCAGUGUAUUGUUAUUGAAGAUGCAUUAGCUGGACUGCAGGCUGCUAGAGCUGUGCAGAUGAGGUUGAAUAUGUCUUUGGACGCACAUUUUACUUAAAUAUAGAUAUGUGGGUGGAUGUUGAUAUGUUUCCACUCAUAAUUAUGGAUACAGCACAGAUAUUUAUCUAUUUAUUCUUUAUUUAGCAAGCCUUUUUAGCUCCAAAAUUAUGUUUCUUAUGUAGCAAUAACAUAUUUUUUUUCAAGUAUAGCAGUAACAAGUUCUUCUUGCAGAUGUAUAGACGUGACAACAACAUUGUCAGAAGACACUCUAAAAAGGGCUGCUCCAUCACUUAUCAGACAGGAGAUACGGAGUAUUUCACUUGAUGACAUAAUUAGUGGUGGCUCUGUUUCAAAUAUAUUAGCUUGGUACUUGUUAGGAUUAUGUAUUAUGUGGAAAAAUGAGGUCUGAUGAUGGUGGCCAUUGCAGACGAGAAGAUGCAGGGACCCCAACUUGGUAAUUCCUCUGCUCAAAUGUCUCCACCACCUCUCAAGGAUAGGAGAGAGAGUGGGUCAUUCCCAGAUAUAAAUUCUUCAAAUGAUGCAGCCUUCUCAAUUGGAGGGGUUCUUGUUGAGAUAUUUUAAGAUAUGGAAGUCUAGGGGUUGCUACCUCAUGUUUCAUUUUCACGAUUACUAACUGGAAGGUAUGAGUAUGCAAUUGGAAAGAAAUAUGGACGGUCUAAGUAUUUUGGUUUCGUCUCGAGACUCUUAUCCUCUUUUUCCCUUGUUGAGUUAGUUUAAAUAUGAUAUCUAGAAAUCCUUAAUAUUCCUUGGAGUGCUACUACUUUGCAGGCAAUGCAAUAUGCGUCUCUAAAGGCCAUUUGGAACUAGCUAUUUGGAGUAGCCAGACCCUCUUUUGAACAGAAUAAAGAAAUUAUGAAGGCUUCAAAGCGUGAAGCAUGUUCUCUUCCCUCUUAAGCAACAUCAUUUUUAGGACAUAUGGAGUUAGAAAUCUCUGACAUGGAAAAAAUGAAAGAAUGAUCGGAAUC